rnacentral:rRNA from 1 species
AGUGAACGCUGGCGGUAGGCCUAACACAUGCAAGUCGAAUGGCAGCACAGUAAGAGCUUGCUCUUACGGGUGGCGAGUGGCGGACGGGUGAGGAAUACAUCGGAAUCUACUUUUUCGUGGGGGAUAACGUAGUGAAACUUACGCUAAUACCGCAUACGACCUACGGGUGAAAGCAGGGGAUCUUCGGACCUUGCGCGAUUGAAUGAGCCGAUGUCGGAUUAGCUAGUUGGCGGGGUAAAGGCCCACCAAGGCGACGAUCCGUAGCUGGUCUGAGAGGAUGAUCAGCCACACUGGAACUGAGACACGGUCCAGACUCCUACGGGAGGCAGCAGUGGGGAAUAUUGGACAAUGGGCGCAAGCCUGAUCCAGCCAUACCGCGUGGGUGAAGAAGGCCUUCGGGUUGUAAAGCCCUUUUGUUGGGAAAGAAAAGCAGCAGGUUAAUACCCCGCUGUUCUGACGGUACCCAAAGAAUAAGCACCGGCUAACUUCGUG